GGGAUUGCCCCAGUAACGGCGAGUGAAGCGGCAACAGCUCAAAUUUGAAAUCUGGCCCCCCCCGGGGGGCCCGAGUUGUAAUUUGCAGAGGAUGCUUUGGGCGAGGCGCCUUCCGAGUUCCCUGGAACGGGACGCCACAGAGGGUGAGAGCCCCGUCUGGUCGGACGCCGAGCCUCUGUAAAGCUCCUUCGACGAGUCGAGUAGUUUGGGAAUGCUGCUCAAAAUGGGAGGUAUAUGUCUUCUAAAGCUAAAUACCGGCCAGAGACCGAUAGCGCACAAGUAGAGUGAUCGAAAGAUGAAAAGCACCUUGAAAAGGGGGUUAAACAGUACGUGAAAUUGUUGAAAGGGAAGCGCUCGUGACCAGACUUGGGGCGGGCGGAUCAGCCGGCGUUCUCGCCGGCGCACUCCGCCCGUCCCAGGCCAGCAUCAGUUCGCGCCGGGGGACAAAGGCGGCGGGAACGUGGCUCCCCAGGGAGUGUUAUAGCCCGCCGCGCCAUGCCCCGGGGGCGGACUGAGGGCCGCGCAUCACUGCAAGGAUGCUGGCGUAAUGGUCACCAGCGACCCGUCUUGAAACACGGGCCAAGGAGUCGUCCUCGUAUGCGAGUGUUCGGGUGUCAAACCCCUACGCGGAAUGAAAGUGAACGUGGGUGAGAGCUUCGGCGCAUCAUCGACCGAUCCUGAUGUUCUCGGAUGGAUUUGAGUAGGAGCAUACGGGGCCGGACCCGAAAGAAGGUGAACUAUGCCUGUGUAGGGUGAAGCCAGAGGAAACUCUGGUGGAGGCUCGCAGCGGUUCUGACGUGCAAAUCGAUCGUCAAACAUGGGCAUGGGGGCGAAAGACUAAUCGAACCUUCUAGUAGCUGGGUUUCCGCC
rnacentral:rRNA from 1 species